AAGGGCCUUCAACAAACUGUUGCCACAAAGUUGGAAGCAUAGCAUUGUCCAAAAUGUCUUGGUGUGCUGAAGCAUUAAGGUUUCCCUUCACUGGAAGUCAGUGGUUGAGCCCAAACCCUGACAAACAGGUCCAUAGAGAGGGGGUUGUCUGGAUACUUUUGUCUACAUAGUUUGUGAACUGUGUUCACUGGGCAAAAACUUUGGAGAACUUGAAUCUUUUAUUUCCAGGUUUGUGUAGAAAAUGAUCUUCAUGUUUGUCUCUCCAAAGUCCAACAUUUUACUUUGAGUAGUUUUGUGUAUGUGAAUGAAGGAGAAGUAAACUCGUCUGCCU